rnacentral:rRNA from 1 species
UAACACAUGCAAGUCGAACGAUGAAGCCCAGCUUGCUGGGUGGAUUAGUGGCGAACGGGUGAGUAAUACGUGAGUAACCUGCCUUUAACUCUGGGAUAAGCCUUGGAAACGGGGUCUAAUACCGGAUACGACCAGUUCCCGCAUGGGAUGCUGGUGGAAAGGGAUAUGUACUGGUUUUAGAUGGGCUCACGGCCUAUCAGCUUGUUGGUGAGGUAACGGCUCACCAAGGCGACGACGGGUAGCCGGCCUGAGAGGGUGACCGGCCACACUGGGACUGAGACACGGCCCAGACUCCUACGGGAGGCAGCAGUGGGGAAUAUUGCACAAUGGGCGCAAGCCUGAUGCAGCGACGCCGCGUGAGGGAUGACGGCCUUCGGGUUGUAAACCUCUUUCAGCAGGGAAGAAGCGAAAGUGACGGUACCUGCAGAAGAAGCGCCGGCUAACUACGUGCCAGCAGCCGCGGUAAUACGUAGGGCGCGAGCGUUGUCCGGAAUUAUUGGGCGUAAAGAGCUUGUAGGCGGUUUGUCGCGUCUGCUGUGAAAGCCCGGGGCUUAACCCCGGGUUUGCAGUGGGUACGGGCAGACUAGAGUGCAGUAGGGGAGACUGGAAUUCCUGGUGUAGCGGUGAAAUGCGCAGAUAUCAGGAGGAACACCAAUGGCGAAGGCAGGUCUCUGGGCUGUAACUGACGCUGAGAAGCGAAAGCAUGGGGAGCAAACAGGAUUAGAUACCCUGGUAGUCCAUGCCGUAAACGUUGGGCACUAGGUGUGGGGGACAUUCCACGUUUUCCGCGCCGUAGCUAACGCAUUAAGUGCCCCGCCUGGGGAGUACGGUCGCAAGACUAAAACUCAAAGAAAUUGACGGGGGCCCGCACAAGCGGCGGAGCAUGCGGAUUAAUUCGAUGCAACGCGAAGAACCUUACCAAGGCUUGACAUAUACCGGACCGCUCUAGAGAUAGAGUUUCCCUUCGGGGCUGGUAUACAGGUGGUGCAUGGUUGUCGUCAGCUCGUGUCGUGAGAUGUUGGGUUAAGUCCCGCAACGAGCGCAACCCUCGUUCUAUGUUGCCAGCACGUAAUGGUGGGGACUCAUAGGAGACUGCCGGGUCAAUCGGAGAAAGGUGGGGAUGACGUCAAAUCAUCAUGCCCCUUAAGUCUUGGGCUUCACGCAUGCUACAAUGGCCGGUACAAAGGGUUGCGAUACUGUGAGGUUGAGCUAAUCCCAAAAAGCCGGUCUCAGUUCGGAUUGGGGUCUGCAACUCGACCCCAUGAAGUCGGAGUCGCUAGUAAUCGCAGAUCAGCAACGCUGCGGUGAAUACGUUCCCGGGCCUUGUACACACCGCCCGUCAAGUCACGAAAGUUGGUAACACCCGAAGCCGAUGGCCUAACCCGUUGGGAGGGAGUCGUUAGAAGG